rnacentral:rRNA from 1 species
GAUGAACGCUGGCGGCGUGCCUAACACAUGCAAGUCGAGCGGGAAUAUAUGAGGUGCUUGCACCAUAUAUAUUUUAGCGGCGGACGGGUGAGUAACGCGUGGGCAACCUGCCCUGUACAGCAGGAUAACACUUAGAAAUAGGUGCUAAUACUGCAUAAGCUUACGGUACAGCAUUGUACAGUAAGAAAAGAUUUAUCGGUACAGGAGGGGCCCGCGUCUGAUUAGCUAGUUGGCAGGGUAACGGCCUACCAAGGCGACGAUCAGUAGCCGACCUGAGAGGGUGACCGGCCACAUUGGGACUGAGACACGGCCCAAACUCCUACGGGAGGCAGCAGCGGGGAAUAUUGCACAAUGGAGGGAACUCUGAUGCAGCAACGCCGCGUGAAGGAAGAAGGUUUUCGGAUCGUAAACUUCUAUCGACAGGGACGAAAAGAAUGACGGUACCUGAGUAAGAAGCCCCGGCUAACUACGUGCCAGCAGCCGCGGUAAAAC